rfam:Triticum aestivum genome assembly, contig: Triticum_aestivum_CS42_TGACv1_scaffold_392681_5AS
CUUAUACUUCCUUCGUCCGGAAAUACUUGUCAUCAAAAUGAAUAAAAGGAGAUGUAUCUAGAUGUAUUUUAGUUCUAGAUACAUACCAUUUCAUUCAUUUUAAUGACAAGUAUUUUCGGACGGAGGAAGUUUUUU